rnacentral:rRNA from 1 species
UUCUCCUACGGGGCGCAGCAGUGGGGGAUAUUGCACAAUGGGGGAAACCCUGAUGCAGCGACGCCGCGUGGGCGAAGAAGUAUUUCGGUAUGUAAAGCCCUAUCAGCAGGGAAGAAGAAAUGACGGUACCUGAGUAAGAAGCACCGGCUAAAUACGUGCCAGCAGCCGCGGUAAUACGUAUGGUGCAAGCGUUAUCCGGAUUUACUGGGUGUAAAGGGAGCGCAGGCGGCACGGCAAGCCUGAUGUGAAAGCCCGGGGCCCAACCCCGGGACUGCUCUUGGAACUGCGUGGCUGGAGUGCAGGAG